CUCCCGGUGGAUCCUGCCGGACCCGACUGCUAUCAGAGUGGGACUAAGCCAUGCGAGUCAACAUAGCAAUAUGUGGCAUACGGCUCAGUAACACGUAGUCAAUAUGCCCAGGGGACGUGGAUAACCUCGGGAAACUGAGGAUAAACCGCGAUAGGUCAUCACUUCUGGAAUGGGUAAUGACUUAAAUCUAUAUGGCCCCUGGAUUGGACUGCGGCCGAUCAGGCUGUUGGUGAGGUAAUGGCCCACCAAACCUGUAACCGGUACGGGCUCUGAGAGGAGGAGCCCGGAGAUGGGCACUGAGACAAGGGCCCAGGCCCUAUGGGGCGCAGCAGGCGCGAAACCUCUGCAAUAGGCGAAAGCUUGACAGGGUUACUCUGAGUGAUUUCCGUUAAGGAGAUCUUUUGGCACCUCUAAAAAUGGUGCAGAAUAAGGGGUGGGCAAGUCUGGUGUCAGCCGCCGCGGUAAUACCAGCACCCCGAGUGGUCGGGACGUUUAUUGGGCCUAAAGCAUCCGUAGCCGGUUCUACAAGUCUUCCGUUAAAUCCACCUGCUUAACAGAUGGGCUGCGGAAGAUACUAUAGAGCUAGGAGGCGGGAGAGGCAAGCGGUACUCGAUGGGUAGGGGUAAAAUCCGUUGAUCCAUUGAAGACCACCAGUGGCGAAGGCGGCUUGCCAGAACGCGCUCGACGGUGAGGGAUGAAAGCUGGGGGAGCAAACCGGAUUAGAUACCCGGGUAGUCCCAGCUGUAAACGAUGCAGACUCGGUGAUGAGUUGGCUUAUUGCUAACUCAGUGCCGCAGGGAAGCCGUUAAGUUUGCCGCCUGGGGAGUACGGUCGCAAGACUGAAACUUAAAGGAAUUGGCGGGGGAGCA
rnacentral:rRNA from 1 species